rnacentral:rRNA from 1 species
GACGAACGCUGGCGGCGUGCUUAACACAUGCAAGUCGAACGGUGAACGAGGGAGCUUGCUCCCUCCGGAUCAGUGGCGAACGGGUGAGUAACACGUGAGCAAUCUGCCCCGAACUCUGGGAUAAGCGUUGGAAACGACGUCUAAUACCGGAUACGACGCGGGAGGGCAUCCUCUCCGCGUGGAAAGAACUUCGGUUCGGGAUGAGCUCGCGGCCUAUCAGCUUGUUGGUGAGGUAACGGCUCACCAAGGCGACGACGGGUAGCCGGCCUGAGAGGGUGACCGGCCACACUGGGACUGAGACACGGCCCAGACUCCUACGGGAGGCAGCAGUGGGGAAUAUUGCACAAUGGGCGCAAGCCUGAUGCAGCAACGCCGCGUGAGGGACGACGGCCUUCGGGUUGUAAACCUCUUUUAGCAGGGAUGAAGCGAAAGUGACGGUACCUGCAGAAAAAGCACCGGCUAACUACGUG